CUGAGUUAACAAGAGUAUAAUAAUUUAUACUUCUUUCAUUCACGACAUCGCACCCGAGUACUCACAUUUUUCUAUCCGUGAAUAUUUUUUUAAUCUCAAGAACUGUACUCAGUUUAUAAAUAAGAGCUUCCUAUAUUUUAACCAAGUAAUAUGAGAGCGAAGUGGCGUAAGAAGCGUAUGCGGAGGCUAAAGCGUAAACGUAGGAAGAUGCGUGCGAGGUCUAAAUAAGCAGGUACAUCUGUUAAGGCAGAGGGUUACACUUCAGACUUGCAUUUGUAUCAAAUAAAAAUUUAAAAAUCC